CUGGCGCACGAUAUGUCGACAUUGGAGAGAGGGUAUUGGGGGAUCGCAAAUCUCCAUCAAAAAGUCACAGCCCCAAAUGCCGACAAAGUCACCACUGUAGAGCACCUUCAAGCAGCAAUUGAGUGGGAAGGGAAGUAUCAAGAAGAGAUUUCCCACAUGAAAGCUGAGUUAGAGUUGGCUCGAGCCAAGUUGGAAUCGUCUCAGG
rnacentral:lncRNA from 1 species